AUUUUGUCCUUAUCAUUAAAACUAAAAGUUUUCAAGCCCUUUUUCAUUAGUUUUACUAAAAAAAAAUUGUACCCACAUAAUUAUUAACAUAUUUUAAAAAAUAACUAUUGAUAUAUUUUAAAACAUAAAUUAAAUACAUAUAAUUAGCAUUGGUACAUUUAGCAAAAUUAAAAACGGGUACAAAUACAAAUAAGAGUUUAAAAAAGAUGGGCACAAAAAGAAAUUAAUAUAUGGGUACAAAUUAAAACUGAAAAGAAAAUUAGUACAAAUUAAAAAAAGGGAGACUUUGGAUGCGGUCCCUAGUUAUGAACAGUUUUUUACUGAAACCUUGUUGGUUUUCAAUUUUUGAUUCAAGUCCCUAAAAUUAAUUAAUAAUUUAUUUCUAUGUACGUUACUAUAUUUUUUAAAUUAAAAAUUAAAAUUUAUAGUUGUUUAUAGUAAUGAGAUUUUAAAUAAAAAACCAUAAUUUGUGGGAUUAAAAAUAUUAAAACAUAAAUAUACUAUUGUGUGUGUGUGUGUAAACAUGGGUACAUUCAUAAAAAAUAACCAAAAAAUUAU
rnacentral:lncRNA from 1 species